CCGCGCUCAGCCCUCCGCCCGGAGCCUGGAGCCCGGGCAGCGCCACCAAGCGGAGGGAAAAGCGCGGGCGGAGCUGAGGGGAGAGGCGGGGCGGGAAGUUGUCCUGGCGCCGAGCUGCGCUUGUGUGGGGAUGGCGCCGAGGGCUGUCGGGAGAUCAGCCACUGGAGGGCGACAUGAUCCCAGUCACACAGGCGAAGCUCUAAGCCUGGUAAAUUGGGUAGCACGCACGCAGCAAGCACCACCAAAGUCGUGCUGAGGAAUUUCUGCAUAAAGACUUCAGCUACUGUUUAAUGACAGAA
rnacentral:lncRNA from 1 species